CACAACUGCAUUCUUCACAACCAUAACUGACCCUCCAACAACUACAGCUACAACCCAAUCAACCACAACUACCCACACGUCACCAACCAUUUUUAUAACCUCGGAUCCGACCACAUCUACAAUCACGACUACUUCUGAACCCUUGCUAGUUCUGGCACAUCUACAGGUCAAGGUGACUACCAUUGGUACAUUUACCAAUGAAAGCGUCUCUCAGCAGCUUGAAAAGUUCUUCGAAGAUAACCUUCUUAACGGAACUGCCCACACGAUCACAGUGAAAAGUGUUCAGGAAGUUCUGAGAGGCAAUUAAAGGCGUCUAUAAGAUACAAGGGUGUUAGCACAGAGAACCAGGAUUUGUUCUUUUUGAUGUUGUAGCUCUAUAAUUCUAAGUUUUGAAACACAGGUCAACAAAGGUCCAGAAUCAAAGCCUUAAAUCUGUGCUCAUUUACCUUCUUGCGUCACGUUAAAUGCACAACACUCCAUCCCAAAAGCCAUAUGUUCACUAUUCCAAUUUUUAAACCAACCAUCCAUCCAUUAUCCAAGCCGCUUAUCCUGCACUCAGGGUCGUGGGGAUGCUGGAGCCUAUCCCAGCAGUCACUGGGCAGCAGGCGGGGAGACCCCCUGUACAUGCCACCAGUCCAUCACAGCCCCACACCCCACACUCACACACACAUAGGGACAAUGUAGUAUGGCUGAUUCACCUGACCUACAUCUUUGGACUGUGGGAGGAAACCGAAGCACCCGGAGAAAAGCCACGCAGACUCAGGGAGAACAUGUAAACUCCACACAGAGGACGACCCCCCAAGAUUGGACUACCCCGGGGCUCGAACCCAGGACCUUCUUGCUGUGAGGCAAUUGCGCUAACCACUGUGCCACCGUCCAGCUCUCAUUUUUAAACUAGUUAUUCCAUUAUUGGGGGAUUGAUUAUAGGAAUCAACAGUAAUAGUGACUUUGAUUGUGUCCCGAUUGCUGGCGACUGUAUGAUGCAAAAUGCAGCUUUAGCCAAGUACUCUCCUGGACCAAGAAGCAUCCAAGUGAUGGGGUUUAUUCCCAUGGUUUAAAAACAAAAAAAAACCGAAAAUGACUUAAACGUUGUCCAAUCUGGUGACCCAGGUUGCCAUUCAGCCACCUUUCUUUUUUUUUUAUGUAUGGCUACCACCUUAAGAAAAGCUUUUCUUAGACGGUGCUGAUGCAAAAGUAAUCUUUGUAAAUUAUUUGCAACUACACAAUGAUUAUGGGUAAGAGUCAAUGUCAAAUGUGAAAUCUGUGUUAUCAUGUAUGUAUACAAAAGUUAAAUCAAGAUAUAACUAGGGUGGCUCAUUAAUCAAACUAACUGUUGGAUUGCAUGAAAUUAAAUCUUGAUCCGAGUCCGAGUCCGAGAACUCUGAAGCAAAAGAGCUUGCAUUUCUCAUUUCUACCUUGACUCUUGCCUCAUUUAAUCGAUUCAUUUUUAUAUAUAAAUUAUUUUCCUCAUGCAUGCAAGAUUAUUUUCAAAUGGAUUUCCACAGUCAGAUUUUCUUCAGCCUCAAUGUCAAGCACUUUCACUUGCAGCCGGGGACAUUUCAGCACUUUCCAGGCCGCUCAAAAGGAGAAAAAAAAGAGUGAAUGUGGCCCGUUUAAUUUUUUUUUUAAUGUUUUGUAAUGCAUUUUGCUGCCCUGCUAUGUCUCCUCCCAUCUCCAAAUUCUGAUGGCUUUGUGAUCUUGUUAGAUAAUGCAGUGCAUAACUGUACAUUUCUACUUUUAGUUUUUUUGUUUUACAUUGAAUACUAAUAUUACUUACAUUGAAUAAUAAAAUUCACAUUUUUUUGGA